AUUGAACGCUGGCGGCAGGCCUAACACAUGCAAGUCGAACGGUAACAGGAAGCAGCUUGCUGCUUUGCUGACGAGUGGCGGACGGGUGAGUAAUGUCUGGGAACCUGCCUGAUGGAGGGGGAUAACUACUGGAAACGGUAGCUAAUACCGCAUAACGUCGCAACACCAAAGAGGGGGACCUUCGGGCCUCUUGCCAUCGGAUGUGCCCAGAUGGGAUUAGCUUGUUGGUGGGGUAACGGCUCACCAAGGCGACGAUCCCUAGCUGGUCUGAGAGGAUGACCAGCCACACUGGAACUGAGACACGGUCCAGACUCCUACGGGAGGCAGCAGUGGGGAAUAUUGCACAAUGGGCGCAAGCCUGAUGCAGCCAUGCCGCGUGUAUGAAGAAGGCCUUCGGGUUGUAAAGUACUUUCAGCGGGGAGGAAGGGAGUAAAGUUAAUACCUUUACUCAUUGACGUUACCCGCAGAAGAAGCACCGGCUAACUCCGUG
rnacentral:rRNA from 1 species